rnacentral:tRNA from 1 species
GCCUGGUUGGCUCAGUCGGUGGAGCGUCCGACUUCGGCUCAGGUCGCGGUCUCGCGGUCCGUGAGUUCGAGCCCCGCGUCGGGCU